AGAGUUUGAUCCUGGCUCAGAUUGAACGCUGGCGGAAUGCUUUACACAUGCAAGUCGAACGGCAGCACGGGGGCAACCCUGGUGGCGAGUGGCGAACGGGUGAGUAAUGUAUCGGAACGUACCCAGUCGUGGGGGAUAACUAUCCGAAAGGAUAGCUAAUACCGCAUACGUCCUGAGGGAGAAAGCGGGGGACCUGCAAGGGCCUCGCGCGAUUGGAGCGGCCGAUAUCGGAUUAGCUAGUUGGUGAGGUAAAGGCUCACCAAGGCGACGAUCCGUAGCGGGUCUGAGAGGACGACCCGCCACACUGGAACUGAGACACGGUCCAGACUCCUACGGGAGGCAGCAGUGGGGAAUUUUGGACAAUGGGGGAAACCCUGAUCCAGCCAUUCCGCGUGAGUGAAGAAGGCCUUCGGGUUGUAAAGCUCUUUCAGCAGGAACGAAACGGCCGGCUUUAAUAAAGUCGGCUAAUGACGGUACCUGCAGAAGAAGCACCGGCUAACUACGUGCCAGCAGCCGCGGUAAUACGUAGGGUGCGAGCGUUAAUCGGAAUUACUGGGCGUAAAGCGUGCGCAGGCGGCGACAUAAGACAGAUGUGAAAUCCCCGGGCUCAACCUGGGAACUGCGUUUGUGACUGUGUUGCUAGAGUGUAGCAGAGGGGGGUGGAAUUCCACGUGUAGCAGUGAAAUGCGUAGAGAUGUGGAGGAACACCGAUGGCGAAGGCAGCCCCCUGGGUUAACACUGACGCUCAUGCACGAAAGCGUGGGGAGCAAACAGGAUUAGAUACCCUGGUAGUCC
rnacentral:rRNA from 1 species